CUACGGGCCGCAGCAGUGAGGAAUAUUGCACAAUGGGGGGAACCCUGAUGCAGCAACGCCGCGUGGAGGAUGACGCAUUUCGGUGUGUAAACUCCUUUUAUAUGUCAAGAAAAUGACGGUAGCAUAUGAAUAAGCACCGGCUAGACUCCGUGCCAGCAGCCGCGGUAAUACGGAGGGUGCAAGCGUUACUCGGAAUCACUGGGCGUAAAGGACGCGUAGGCGGGUUGGAAAGUCAGGUGUGAAAUCCUACAGCUUAACUGUAGAACUGCACUUGAAACUUCUAAUCUAGAGUAUGGGAGGGGGAGAUGGAAUUAGUGGUGUAGGGGUAAAAUCCGUAGAUAUCACUAGGAAUACCUAAAGCGAAGGCGAUCUCCUGGAGCAUUACUGACGCUAAGGCGUGAAAGCGUGGGGAGCAAACAGGAUUAGAUACCCGAGUAGUC
rnacentral:rRNA from 1 species